rnacentral:tRNA from 1 species
GCUCCUAAAGGAUAACAGCUCAUCCAGUGGUCUUAGGAACCGAAAACUCUUGGUGCAAGUCCAAGUAGCAGCU